AGAGUUUGAUCCUGGCUCAGAGCGAACGCUGGCGGCGUGCUUAACACAUGCAAGUCGAGUGCGCGUCUGUAGCAAUACAGAUGGCGCACGGCGCACGGGAGCGUAACACGUGGGUAAUCUGCCCUUCGAAGGGGAAUAACUCGCCGAAAGGCGAGCUAAUUCCGCAUAACAUUCCGAGGACUUUGGUUUUCGGACUCAAAGGCGUAAGUCUCGUCGGAGGAGGAGCCCGCGCACGAUUAGCUAGUUGGUAGGGUAACGGCCUACCAAGGCUAUGAUCGUUAGCUGGUCUGAGAGGAUGGCCAGCCACACUGGGAAACUGAGACACGGUCCAGACUCCUACGGGAGGCAGCAGUGGGGAAUCUUGCACAAUGGGCGAAAGCCUGACGCAGCGACGCCGCGUGGGGGAUGAAGCUUCUCGGAGUGUAAACCCCUUUCG
rnacentral:rRNA from 1 species